rnacentral:rRNA from 1 species
AUUGAACGCUGGCGGCAGGCUUAACACAUGCAAGUCGAGCGGGGUGAUGGUGCUUGCACUAUCACUUAGCGGCGGACGGGUGAGUAAUGCUUAGGAAUCUGCCUAUUAGUGGGGGACAACAUCUCGAAAGGGAUGCUAAUACCGCAUACGUCCUACGGGAGAAAGCAGGGGAUCACUUGUGACCUUGCGCUAAUAGAUGAGCCUAAUUCGGAUUAGCUAGUUGGUGGGGUAAAGGCCUACCAAGGCGACGAUCUGUAGCGGGUCGUAGAGGAUGAUACGCCGCAUUGGGACGGCGACACGGACCAGAGUCCGACGAGAGGCAGCGUUGUGGAAUAUUGGACCAUGGGGAGAACCCUGGGCAAGCCAUGCCGCGUGUGUGAAGACGGCCUUAUGGUUGUAAAGCACAUUAAGCGAUGAGGAGUCUCUUUUGGUUAAUACCCAAGAUGAGUGGACGUUACUCGCAGAAUAAGCACCGGCUAACUCUGUGCCAGCCGCCGCCGUAU